UACGUAGGGUGCGAGCGUUGUCCGGAAUUAUUGGGCGUAAAGGGCUCGUAGGCGGUCUGUCGCGUCGGGAGUGAAAACUCAGGGCUUAACCCUGAGCCUGCUUCCGAUACGGGCAGACUAGAGGUAUGCAGGGGAGAACGGAAUUCCUGGUGUAGCGGUGGAAUGCGUAGAUAUCCGGAGGAACACCAGCGGCGAAGGCGGCAUCCUGGACUGGUCCUGACACUCAGGAGCGAAAGCGUGGGGAGCGAGCCGG
rnacentral:rRNA from 1 species